UACGUAGGGGCUAGCGUUGUCCGGAAUCAUUGGGCGUAAAGCGCGCGUAGGUGGCUUCGUAAGUCCGUUGUGAAAGUCAAAGGCUCAACCUUUGAAAGCCGAUGGAUACUGCGGAGCUAGAGUACGGAAGAGGCGAGUGGAAUUCCUGGUGUAGCGGUGGAAUGCGCAGAUAUCUGGAGGAACACCGGUGGCGAAGGCGGCAUCCUGGACCAACACUGACACUGAGGAGCGAAAGCCAGGGAGCAACGGG
rnacentral:rRNA from 1 species